rnacentral:rRNA from 1 species
AGAGUUUGAUCAUGGCUCAGGAUGAACGCUAGCGACAGGCCUAACACAUGCAAGUCGAGGGGCAUCGGGACGUAGCAAUACGUUGCCGGCGACCGGCGGAUGGGUGAGUAACGCGUAUGCAACCUACCCGUAGCAGGGGGAUAGCCCGUUGAAAGACGGAUUAAUACCCCGUAACACAGGGGCUCCGCAUGGAGAUUAUUGUUAAAGGGUCAUUUCUUUUUCAGGGAUGGUCCGGCUGCGGAUGGGCAUGCGUUCCAUUAGGUAGUUGGUGUAGGUAACUGCUCACCAAGCCGACGAUGGAUAGGGGAACUGAGAGGUUGGUCCCCCACACUGGUACUGAGACACGGACCAGACUCCUACGGGAGGCAGCAGUGAGGAAUUUUGGUCAAUGGACGCAAGUCUGAACCAGCCAUGUCGCGUGAAGGAGGACGGCCCUAAGGGUUGUAAACUUCUUUUGCAGUGGAAUAAAGUUUGCCACGUGUUGGCGAUUUGCAAGUACGCUGCGAAUAAGGAUCGGCUAACUCCGUGCCAGCAGCCGCGGUAAUACGGAGGAUCCAGGCGUUAUCCGGAUUUAUUGGGUUUAAAGGGUGCGCAGGCGGGGAAUUAGGUCGGCGGUGAAAUUUCGGGGCUCAACCUCGACAGUGCCGUUGAAACCGUUUCUCUUGAGUGCGGAUGAGGUAGGCGGAAUUUGUGGUGUAGCGGUGAAAUGCGUAGAUAUCACAAGGAACACCGAUUGCGGAGGCAGCUUACUAAACCGUUACUGACGCUCAUGCACGAAGGCGUGGGGAUCAAACAGGAUUAGAUACCCUGGUAGUCCACGCAGUAAACGAUGAUUACUAGCUGUUUGCGAUACAUUGUAAGCGGCGAAGCGAAAGCGUUAAGUAAUCCACCUGGGGAGUACGUUCGCAAGAAUGAAACUCAAAGGAAUUGACGGGGCCC